rnacentral:sRNA from 1 species
GCGUGUAACCAUUCACCGGCUGCGUGCGCCUAAAAUUUAUUCGAAUGAUUAAGCGCGGCUACGAUUUCCCUGGUGUUGGCGCAACGUUCGCGCACCCCGGCCUGGCC